rnacentral:lncRNA from 1 species
UGUCAUUUAACUUUUAACUUAUUUGUUAAAAUUUUAAGAAAAUAAUUUAUUCAGGGUUGUUUCAUAAAAAAAAAACAUACAUUGUACCCAGGGAAGGCACUUUAUUUUUUACUUAGGGUUAUCACCUAUAGAAGCAGUUUUAGAAAAUCACUUACAUUUUCAAUUUACAAAAAUGUAUUUGACGAUCACAUCUUGUUGAAAUGACAAAGUGCCUUCCCUGUGUCCUGCUGAUGUUUUAAUGGAACAGCCCUUAGAUCAAACAUGUAUGUACAGAACAGAUGGAUAAAAACACCUAGUGAAAGCGAUUUAGCUUAUUAUAUGUUGACCUUUAAUUUUACAUACUGUAUUUUAUUGUGAUAAUUUUGCAGACAACAGUCAUACAUUUAACUGAUCCAAAUAAAAUACUUCGGACUUCUAAAAUGUUUUGGUUUUCAGGCACAAAAAAUAGCAAAUUUUGAAUAGAAUCUCAAUUCUCUACUUCAAUGACAAUGAUAAUUAUAUCAAUUUAGAUAUUAUGUAUGUGUGAAGUUAAAAUAACAAAAAGAACAUAUGUACCCCUAUAGGAAUUUGAAUUUGUUUUUAGAAACCAUGUGAUCAAAAUUAAUACCAGGAGUCCAUUCCAGAUUUUUAAUUAGUUGUUAGAAUCAUGUGAUCAAAAUAGAUACAUAAAGAGUCUAUUCCAAAUUUUUAAUUGGUUGUUGGAAUCAUGUGAUCAGAUUUGAUUCAUAGACUAUUCCAGUUAUAAGUAUGCAUGCAAAUUUUCAACACCUCAUAAACACUUGACCUGUUCAUGAACUUUUAAGUUCAGGAAAAUUUAAAUCCUACUGACCUCAAAUUUGUGCCAGUUGACCUAAUCAAAAAAACACUUUUGGUCUGCGACUUCAAAUAUUUCUCAUUAUGUUCAUGUUAAAAAAUUGUGCGAGAAUUUUUUUUCUCUUGAGUCUUGGCGCCAGAAAAAGUCAAAAUUGUUGUAUACAUUUCAAUGCAGUAUCACAUAGCUCGAUCUUGUAAUUUAAUAGCAAUGACAUUAUUUGGUGCAAAAUUAUGUGUAUUAAUGUUGAUAAACCAAGUUUUUCUAACAAUGACAAUGUUACAGAGAUUUUCAGGGUUGUCUCAAAAUCCUUACACUUUAUAAACUAUAGUGUAAAGGUCUAACAGAUCAAAUAUGAUUUCGUCUCAGUGAAAGAAUUAAACAAGGAUUGUUUUUUUCUACAUUUAUUUUUUACAGGGACAAUGCAAACAAUAAAAUGAUUUUUUUUUUAAUUUUUAAUUUGUAUCUUAGAUUUUAGUUUUGUUUUAGUUAGUGUAAAUAUUUAGCAAAGUGUGUUGUUUUAUUAUUGAUUUUUAUUUUUAUUUUAUAGUGUGCUAAUUUUAAUAUUAAGGAUGUACUUAGGUGAGGUUAGGUGAAAAUUAAUAAAUUAAGAAGU